rnacentral:lncRNA from 1 species
GUUUCCAAAUGAUCGCUGCUGCAAAUGCUGGCUACAGAGCUAUUGCACCCGAUUUUCGCGGGUACGGGUCGUCUGACCCGCCAGCCCAACCCGAGAAAGCCACCUUUGAUGACUUCGUUUCUGAUAUGGCUGCUAUUCUUGAUGCUCUUCACAUUUCUAAGGUUUGGAAUAGCACAGCCUCUGCCAUUGCCACUGCACCACCACCAUUAACACCUCAUCACCAACAUCACCACUAUCAAAACGUAGCAUCAUCAAACACCAAAAGCACCACAGCUUCAUCACUAAAUUAUAUCUAUAUGUGUCUAUCUAUCUCGAUGGGAACAAAAUUCAGUUGUAACAAGCUAUAUUGAUUUACAGCGUGACAAGUUGAGAGAAACACAGAGGUGAGAGAGACGAGAAGAGAGAGAGAGAGAGAGUAAAUCUGAGUAAAAAAUGAGAGAAUGAACUACCGUGUAUGCACUGAGUUAUGUUAUUUUUAUAUAUGGUUUGUAGUUUGUAUUUUAAAAUUGGUUUGUAUUUGAGCACUCCCCUAUAUAUAUUUACAUUUACAAUAGAUUUAUGACAUAUAAUUCUAUAAAUUAAAAAAAUCAAUAAUUUUAUCCACAAAAUAUCUAUUUUCUAAAUAUUUAGGUCAAUUAAUAGUGCAAUGUGUCUUAUAAUUAAAUUUUAAUUUUUAAAUUUUCUUUACUAUGAUUUUCAAUUUUUGUCGAUUUACCAUCUUUUGACCGAUUUUUACCAUUAAUCCCGUAUUUGACCGAUUUUUCACAAAAAACGUUUUUCACCGAUUAACGCUUAAUCGAGACGGUGGCCGACCGAAUAACAAUUAAUCGACGAUUAAUCCCGAUUAAUCGCCGAUUUUUAGAACACUGCUUUUAGGUCACAUAUCUGAAGAUUAAUUUUAUUAAUUUAUAUUCUUUGAUAGAUUAUACUCCCUCCGUCCCUUUUUAGUUAUCACAUUUCUAUUUUUGUUGGUCAAAUUGACUAAGUUUUGACCAAAUAUUGUAAGUCACUCUUUUAUUAAUUUAAAAAACUGAAAAAUACAUCUUAUAAUAGAUUAAAAUUUAUUUCCGGUGACAAUUUUUUUUUAUUUUUUCACUUGAUAAAAAUAUUAAUAAAUUCUAGUCAAAUUUUGGUCAAUUUGACCGGCACAUUCAAAUGUGACAACUAAAAAGGAACGGAGGAAGUAAUAGGUCGAAGUAGAAGAGUGUUGUAAAAAGCGGGAAUCGGACUUAAUCGGUGAAGUCACGGAACAGAGAUUAAUCGGUGAUUAAUAGAAUUGAUCGGGGAUUAAUCGGAUUAAUCAAUGAUUAAUCGGAAAUUUAAUCAGUUCGGCGAGUUACGGAACAGGGAUUAAUCGGUGACUAAUCGUGAUUAAUCAUCGACUUUUAGAACAGAGAGUAGAACAGAGAAACUGUACUAACUUAUAAGUCCAGUUAUCCAAACACAAAAUAAUUUUUAAGUCACGAUAUCCAAACACUUUUUAUAAUUUAUAAGUCGAAACCAACUUUUCACUUAUAAUCCGUUUCUUUAUUUUAAGUAAUAAAUCAUUUCUUUUAAUCCCAGCCAAACGGCCUCAAUAUAAAUUAGAAUUUGAAUGAUGUAUUUUUAUUAAUAUUUUUUUUCCUAAAAUAUAGCGUGAGAUGUAGGGUUCAUGUCACAGCGGCACGGGCAUGCCAGACUGGGCAUGCCCUAGGCUUGCCUUUUGUCCAUUUGACAUGCUUUUUUACUAAUUUUUUAUAUAAAUAAUAAAUAUUAUAUCUUAUAAAUAUUGAAAAUUUUAAAUAUAGUCCAACUUCAUAGUUAAAUAUUAGAUAAACUACUAAUAUAAGUUACCACUGUACUAAGUUCUGUUGUUAAUAUUUACUAACUUUUGUUAUAUUUGUAAGUGCACCUUAGUAUCAAUCCUGUAAUGAUGCAACAAUUUUUGUUAUAUUUAAUGAAAAAUGGCAUGCCAUUUCUCGUAAAAUACAUGCUUGUAGAGUUGUAGCCAUGCCAGGGAGAACUCCCGUGACCCUAGUGAGAUGGAAUAAAUAACGUGUGAUUAGAAUUUAAUGAACCCCGAGACAUUAGUUUAACGAGAUUCCCGAGGUGAACCGGUGGACCCCACCUGAACUCCUUAAACAACACACGCUCCUCAGGAUCAGCUAGCACACCAUCUUUGUUUCUUGAACUCAGAGAAAAUGGAGAAGAUCGAGCACACAUUCAUCGAAGCAAACGGGCUAAAACACCAUGUAGCUCAAGUCGGAUCAUCAUCCGGGUCACCCACUACACUGCUCUUUCUGCAUGGCUUUCCAGAGUUAUGGUACACUUGGCGUUUCCAAAUGAUCGCUGCUGCAAAUGCUGGCUACAGAGCUAUUGCACCCGAUUUUCGCGGGUACGGGUCGUCUGACCCGCCAGCCCAACCCGAGAAAGCCACCUUUGAUGACUUCGUUUCUGAUAUGGCUGCUAUUCUUGAUGCUCUUCACAUUUCUAAGGUUUCCUUAUUUUUCUUGAUUUUUUUUAGUUAUUACUGUGUUUUUUUUUUAAUUUUGGGUGUUACUUGUUAGUUAAUUUAAUGUGAAUAAUGUCUAGGUGUUUGUUUAAGUUACUGUUUUGGGUUUUGCCCUUUUUGGUCGAUUAGGAAUGUUUUAGUAAAUUAUUAGAUCUUGUUAACUUUAAAGUAUUUUUUUAUAAUAGACUAUUGACUAAUGUUUCAGAUUCUUGGGCAUAUAGUAUUAGAUGUUUGGGAUAAUGGAAUCAAUCAUUCUAGUUGGAUUCAUCGAUUGGAUCGGAAUUAAACUAGAAAUCCCGGGUAGAUUAUUCAUUUAAUUCGUUCAAAUUUUAAUUGGAUCGAAUCAAGCUUCCAUUUCGGGUUUGGGCUUGUUUUUUUUUUUUUAACUUGGAUAUUGUAAAUUUUGUUUUUACAUAAACCAGUCCGGGAUCCAAAUCUCAUUAAGACCUUGAUUUGAAAAAUAUUCGUAACAAAUAUCCUAAAUAAUUAAAUUGGUGACAAAGUUUUGCAUAAAAUAUGUCUAAUAUAUGUUGGUUUUGGUUUCUUUAAUUGUGAGAUGACCUGUGUUUAUGGAGGGAGAGGGUCUGAUAUUGAUGGCACUGCCCUGUGGUAGAUGAUUAAAUAAUAAAUAUGAGUUAUGAAAAAUAAAUACUGAGUGUUUUAUUAUCACAACAGGAAGGGGAUUGAUGAGGAUCCACAGACUUAAUAUAUUAAUGUUCACUUUUUGAUUAAGAGUGAUUCUAU